CUUACGUGUUAAGCGUCAAUAUUUAUUCUUUUAUGACUAUUCCUCUUCGCCUUCACCGAUCGAUUCCUCUGCACUACGCGAUUACUGUAAUCCACCCUUCGUGAAUCUGUAAUGCUCUUAAAUCUUCCUUUAAUGGUUUCGUUCCAGCUCCCCCUCUUUCUCCUUCUAUAUAAUCUGAUGUUUAAUCCAAACCCUUAUUCAAAACCUCCACUGAAAAAGGUACAGCGACCGCCAUGAAAUCCACAGGAAAGUCUCCAGUCCCCAGCCGCAAGCCUCACGUCGUUGUAUCUUUAGCGACGUCUCACAUGAACCAGCCGAAAUUGAGCUCCUUUUUCGGUUAAUCCAUUUUUGGGAGGCAAGAAACAUUGCAAAAGGCAAGACCUUUAUUGGGUUGGAGCUCCUCCAAUACGACGAACAGGGUACUGUGAUGCAUGAGUUCAUCUCAUCUACCCGUGCUCCACGAUGCUCGCCUCAUCCUAAAGCAAAAACAACUUACAGCCUUCUGAAAUUUUAAGCUACCAGAAGCAAGGAGAUUUAUCGAGUUGCUAAUCAGAGUUUAACAAUUUCUUUUUUUGAAUGAAAAGUUUAACAAUUUCCCUCUUGCACAACUUUGUUCUCUUCGUGCUUGACGACAUCAGCUUCUCUAUUGACGCAUACAGGUUCAGGUUCCACUCUCAUGACGAUAUCCAAGGUCUCAGGGGUGAUAUCUACGCUGGUUAAAGGACAGUCUCUCAUUGACUGUUCCGUCCUUGACGAAGUGGAACUAGCAACAUGUGUCGUCUUUUUGGUUCAUUUGCAGUCGAAAGAGAGACCUGUUAAGAAGAUUUACUUUUGGGACCACGCUGCAAAAGAUUUCUACAAGAAGUUCACAUCCAGUGAACACAAUCCCACCGUGCUUUUAGUCACGCCAGUGAACACAAAACGCCUUGUAGAAUAAGGUUGAUUUUGCCAAAAAUAUGAAAAAGUCAAUACACUCAAUACCGACAAGUCAACCAUUAUUUUUACUUGGGGCAUAGCCCCCGCGCAAGCGCGGAGCCGGAUACAUUAUUUGAUGAGUUUUGUAGUGUUGUGUAUGGGUUGUUGUCAUUUUUUUUUUAACUUUUGAUUUUCCGUGUUGUUUAUUAUGGUGAUGAAUGGAACAUCGGAUAUCACACAGUUUGAUUAAGGUGAUAUAAGAAUGACCGGCGAAUUCAUAUUUGUUGAUAUUUUAUUAUCUUAUCUUCGUAAUGAUUUGAUGGACAUUAACAUUAUUAGCGCUUCCAUGUUCAAAAGUUGAAAUUUAAGGUAUUGGUUAGUGUUUACUUAGGUAGUUGUUAGUAUAUAAAUCAAAUAGCGUAAAAAAAAUGUAUAAUAUUCGAAUUUAAAAAUUUAACAAUUUAUAUGAACAAUAAUUUUUUUUUUUUUUAUCCAAAAUUAACUUCAAAAAUAUAGAAUUGUAGUAUACUGUUUUUUUUAUUAAAUUAAUAACUCUAGAAAUUUAUAAAAUUAUAUAAUUACAAAAUUAUUUAUUUUUAUAGUUUUUACUGGACUUUGUUAAAAAUGAUUUGUGAUAGACAAAAAAAAGUCAGGCUGAAAUGAAGCCAUGGAUUACAAUAUGAUGUGGACAAUGAGUGAAGAUGUUAUUAGUCACAUAUUCUAAAUAGAAGGUUACAUAUUUUUAAGUAUAUAUACUGAAAUAACUUUUCAUGAUCAAGAAUCAAAGUAGAAAGCCCAUGAAUUCGCCAUGUCUAAGAUAAAAACGAUUUGUUUCAAAGCUAAGAAUAUGGUAAUGAAUUAAUGAGUUGGUGCGAGGGUCAUGAUGUUCAUACCUUCUCAUCUUAAAGUAAGAGGAUGAUACCCAUGAUGUUACGUGAAUCUCAGAAACGGAGAUGACGACCACUAAUCUCCUUUGAAAUUUGGCAAGGACGAAUAUCGUCAAAUCGCAUCGGUCAGAAAUAGCAUCACCGCAUCAGUAAUCAUUUUAGAACAGAGAGAUAAUAACAUCAACGUGGAGAUGGACAGAAUGAAACAACCAGAUGUUGGUAUCUCUUUUGGGGGCUCGUUUUUUAUAGUGGUUCAUCUGAUUUUGGUUAUGAUCGCUUGAGAUUUUGACGUAAUCAGUAUAUAAGAAAUCAAGAGAGAUGGGAGACGAUGAGUUGAGUGAAAAAAAAGGCAUAUUGAGAAGACAACAAACAACUAUAAAGACUAAGUGGUAAACCAAAAUAGAAAAGGGUAUUGUUUCAAACGUUAAAAAAAAAGACAGGUCAUGCAUAAGUUUGCAGAAACUCUAAAAACUGACGACAACUAACAAUUUACACCUGACAACAACAGACCGGCAAACACUCAGCAUGAAACACUUCAGUCUUGAUGAGGAAAACUGAAGGAGACAGCACAAGUUUCCAAGGAUGGAUCCUACUUGCCCCCAAGAGAUGGGAACUGAGCAGUAUCUCCAAUGGUAGGCGCAGCUUCACUACGGUAUCCAUCAAAUCCACCACCAGAAGUACCUUCCCCGUCACGACCACCACGUCCCCUUCCACGACCACCACGACCUCCUCCUCGGUAGUAGUUCUCACCCUCACCUGGUUUCAAAAACUCGUUGAUGUUCACAGCCUGUAAACCACAUAAUACAUCCGUAAGCAAACUUAUUGACUUUUACAAACUCUUUCAUUCAGACAACAAUGUAAACCUUCUUAGGCUUCUCUUCUUUGUCAUCUUUGCGUUUGUCCUUAUCAGAACCCUGGGAGAUAGAUCAAAUGCAAGGUUCAGAACCGGUUAAGAGUGUUUCUAGUCGACAAGACAGGGAGGUAAUAUGUCUUACCAACUUGAUGAAGAUUUCAUCGAGACUUCUUCUUGUUUGAGAGUUUUUGCAUUGAUUCAAACACUUUAGUAUCAACUUUCCUUUCAGAGGUGUUCUGAGACUGAAGGGCUUUUCUCUUCUCCUCAAGUAUUUUUCUCAUACUCAUCCAGAGUCAUUUCCUACCAAACCACAAGCCAAUAAGCAUUGAAGGAUAAUAAAGAAAAAAGCCGAGACAAGAGUAAGUUCAGUUCCAUGUCCUAAUCUAGCAACUUAACAUCUCUCUUAACUCAUCUGCUUACCUUAUCUUCAGACUUUUUCUGCUCCUCCACUUCAGCAGUGUUCUCCUUGUUAGCAUCAGCAGCAACCUCAUCACCAGCAGGCUUCUCAGUCUCAACACCAGAAACUUUUUCAGUCUCCCUAAAAUAGACACCAGAGCUUCUUUUUUAAUCCAAUUUCACAAUCACUACUAUGAGACAAAACAUCAGAAAAUGCUUACACAACAACAACUUCUUCUCCUGGUGUUCCCCAAUUUCCACAACCAGCUUCUUCGCUUUUGAUGUCACCCCUUCACCAAAACUUAAAACUUAACCUUAAAAGAUUAAUGCAACAACAACAACAAAAAUUGAAUGAGGUUAGGACAGACUCUCUGUCUGUUCCACUAUGACGCUCGAAUGUCCUUUGAGGACGUUCACCGUCACCAGCUUCACCACGUCGACCACCACCACGACGAGCACCGCCAUAUACACUACGUUUCUUAUAGAGAGGCUUUGAAACGCCUGCUUCCUCAGAGGGCUUACUGUUACCAUCACCGCCUCUAAAAUCACGGUUGUAACCACCACGACCACGGCUAAAUCCACCGUCUCCACCACCACGUCCACCGCCACGUGGAGCAUCACUCCUAGCCUCUCUCACUAAUCAACAUCAUUAAAAAACAAUCAGAUACCACGAAUGGAAUCAAAUAGAUACGGAAUUUUAAUAACUUGCUAAUCGUGUUAAGCGAAUCUCACCAGGUUGAGCAAGCUGCCUCGACGGAGCAGAUGACUUAGCAGAGACGGCGGAAACAGGUGCAGGUUUCUUAGGCUUAUCUGCAGCGAUGGAAACGGCGAUCUGGCUCGGAUCCUUAGCGCCGUCAUCCAACAGAUCAAAAGGGUUCAAAGUUGCCAUAUCUUCAAAUCAAUCGAAUUGAUUACAACCCUUGUUUUUUUUUCCUAACCAAAAUUAUCACACAGACAGAACACAACUGAUUACAUCAGUUGGUGAGAGAAAUCUAUAAUUGCAACGAAGGUGUAACAUUUCAUAUUUGGAGGGUUUUUGCGAGGAGACGUACAUGAACCUUAUCAACACCUAAAUUUACUACUGAAAUAAAUCGGUUGAGAUUCAAUAAACAAUUAGAUUUAGUUUUGUGUAUCGGCUUCAGGAUAGAUCUCCAUCACGGGCUCGCCGAGGAAGACCCCGCCGGCUCGCCUAAGCUAUAAAAAAAAUCAAAAAUUAGAUUCGAAACAAAAAAAAAACUCAGAUUCGGACAAGAACUAACGUACAGAUUCAAUAGCGGCAUCGAUCUUAGCUUUAGACCGCUUGGUAGAGCGUAGAGACGAUGAAGACACAGUUCAGGAGAUGAAGAAGAAGAACAGAAACGCUUGGAAGCGAAGAGCUACGUCUCGUCUCAACCAUAUCUCAGGAAAUCUAAAAUAUCGGAGAGACUUUAUGUAAAUGUGGGACCCACAAACAUAAAGGAGUUGCUGACGUGUCACAAAGAUUCAAGACCCUCAGAGGAAGCCGAGGGGCAAGAGCUUCCGACCUUCAUAAAUAUAUAUUAUGUUCGGCCAUCAAUGUACAAAGGUAUCAGUUAGCUUAGUGGUAUAAAUGUUGGUGUUUAUAUCUCAAUAACCCUGUUUCGAGCCAUGGGCUUGACACUUUUUCACACUUUUUAAAAGUGGAGUCCACAAAACGAUGACGUGGCGCGCUGAGAAGUGAGCAAAAACUGAUCUAUUAUAAUAUAGAUUUUAUUUUAUUUAAACACGAGUCAACAGUCAAAUUGAAAUCAAAUCACAAAUAAUAGUAUCUGAGAGUAACAAUCAUGAAAUCCUUGUAUGUUUCCGUGUCACUUACUUAUAAGUACAACCCACAUUUUAAUUUCAGCACCCUAAGUAACAGUAGACGUGACACACACUAGACAUACAUGCAUACACAUAGAGCCGGCUUAGAUAGGACGAAACCAAUCCGUUGUCCCCCUAUUUUUUAAUAGAUAAAGGUCUGAUUUUUCUCUAAAAAUAAAUAUAUUUUUAUAUUAAAAUAAGAAAUGGAGCCCAAAUUUUUUUUAUAUGAAAAUAUUUUUUUUAUUUCCAAAAAUUUAUUUUUAAAAGUACUUCUGGUAUUUUUUAAAAAAAAUAUCUAUCAGAUUUUUUUAAAAAAAUAAUAGCUUAGAAAUUAAAAAAAAAUUGUUCAGGGCCAUGACACCAUUGAGGCCCCUGCAUACACACGAGCAUUUUUGUUGAAAUGUGACCGAACAAAUCACGUUUUUAUAUAAUAUCACUGGAAAAAUUGUUCUUUUCAUAUGCAACUAACUUAACUAAUUCUCAGUUUUGCACCUCGCAGAAAUAAAAGCACCAUCGCACUUGUUAACCAUAGCGAACACACGCACAAAAGCCAUAUGUCGAUAGAGGCCGUAUUGGGCUAAUAUGAUACUUCAAUGGGCCACUACAGCCCAAAUAGCAUCGCACUUAUUAACCAUAGCGAACACACGCACAAAAGCCAUAUGUCGAUAGAGGCCGUAUUGGGCUAAUAUGAUAAUCCAUUGUCCCCCUAUUUCUUAAUAAUAGAUAAAGGUCCAAUUUUCUUUUAUUUUUAUAUUAAAAAUAAGAAAUGAGACCCAAAUUUUUUUUAUAUGAAUAUUUUUUUAUAUUCAAAAAUUUAUUUUUAAAAAUACUUCUGGUAUGUUGAAAAAAAUUAUAUCCAUCAAAUUUUUUUUAAAAAAUAAUAUCUUAGAAAUUAAAAAAAAAUUGUCCGCAGGGCCAUGACACCAUUGAGGCCCCUGCAUACACACGAGCAUUUUUGUUGGAUUGUGACAUAACAAAUCACGUUUUUAUAUAAUAUCACUGGAAAAAUUGUUCUUUUCAUAUGCAACUAACUUAACUAAUUCUCAGUUUUGCACCUCGCGGAAAUAAAAGCACCAUCGCACUUGUUAACCGUAUGUCGAUAGAGGCCGUAUUGGGCUAAUAUGAUACUUCAAUGGGCCACUACAGCCUAAAUACCCGAGCAAAUAUGAUCUUGUAUCAUCAUCAUAAGCAUAGCACAAAACACAAGAACAGCUUUGCAGGAGAUUGAACAAUAACACAAGAACAGCAUUACGAAAUUCAUUUUUCAAUAGAUAACAGAGGAACACACUUUGUUAUUUUCUUUAAAUGAAAAUAAAUAGUUCUUUACGUAAAAAGAUUACAGACUGAAACACCUCUUAUGUAAUAUUCAAAAGAGAACAUAAACAUUCAAUUAAAGAAUAAUUUGAAAACAAAUCUUUUUUAUCUCACAACCAAAGAACAAAACAAAUAGACAACAACCUUCUUUCUUCUUCUUCAUCUAUAUCUACAACACAUUCUUGCAAAAAGUAGACCAUUUUUUCCUUUUCAACAUCUAAUGAACACA